rnacentral:misc_RNA from 1 species
AUAUCAAGCAUAUAAAAGAAAAAUAAUUGUUCUCGGGUGAAAAGAGCCGGGUCUCUUGACCGAACAGAAUAGCAAAUUGAAUCUUUUGUUAUCUGGAAAAUUCGUUCACCUAAUUGAAUUUCGUGUUUAACUUCGUUACGUUUUAGGUUUAUCCAUUAUAACGUUGGGAACAUAUUAAAACUAUAACGCAACCAUUCGAAGUAAACAAAAGGUUGGCAAACUUGAAGGUUCAAAUCGUAGGGAGUUUAAGGUAAAUGAAGUAUGAGGGUGAAAUAAUGAUUGAUAUUUACCAAAAUGUCUUGGAGCGACACCGGCAUCAGCGAGCACGUCGACAUGUCUACUAGAUGCACCUU